AGGUUAAAUGCUUGUAUGACACUUUUCAUGAACCAUUUAAGCGUGUAGUUUCCCAUCACCCUCCUAUUCCAGAAACUCCUUCCCUGAAGGAUGUCGAACCUUCCUCCGUGAAUGAAGUAACAAAAGUGAAGAAAGACACAGAAGAACGUAAACAAAACGUAGGAAGAAAGAACCGGAAUUAGCUGUUAAGUCAGCCCUAUCUGCCGCAUUUUCCAUAUAUGCUGAUAAGAUGGGUGAGAAGAAAAACAGUUCAUCUCAGGUAGGGGAAACUAGUGCUUCGAAAUCAGGUGCUGAAAAUAACAAUUCUGGUAAACGGGACAGCUAAGUGAUCAUUCUCUAUCCUCCAGAAUUCACAAUAACCUUAAAAGCAAGAAACUGGAACUAGAAUUGCUGAGAAUAGAUCAAGCAUCCUUGCCAAAGAGGCAAUGGCAGCAGAACUAACACACUCAUUAACAAUGCAUAUUUACAGGCUUCUCUGUCCUCCCCAUUUAGAUGAUGUUGGAGGAGGAGGCAGGAAAUUCUUUACCUAAUUCUGUGCACCUAGUAAGAUUCUUUACCUUUUCAAAAAAAAAAAAGUAAGAUUCUUUACCUUUAGGGUUGAGAAACUCUGCACACCAGACCUUAAUUUAUAUGUAUUGUCAAGAAGUUAGGAUUUUUCAGUUAGUUUGAAAGUUU
rnacentral:lncRNA from 1 species